rnacentral:lncRNA from 1 species
CAGAGCCUUCCAAGAUUAUAUAUCUAGAUUUUCAUAAAAAUAACGAAGGGAUAAACGUGCUGAAAUUACUAGAUAAUUCAGAAGACAUUGAAGAAAAAUUCAAGAUGUAAGUACAUAUAGCUAAGCAAAACAAAUACAAACACAAAUCAGUAUAAUAACUGUACGAAAUAAAAUGAAACCAAUCCAAUCAUGCAAAGCUUGAAUGCUCACGAUAAUUGAAAUCAUGAACAAAGAGUUGGAAUGAAGCACAAAUUAAUUAGAAUGUACCAAUCCACACUUAGCAAACUUGAUGAACCUUAAAAGUUGUUAUCGGAGUUCACUAUUGUUUUGUUGUUUCCGCUGCCAAAAAGCAAAGAAAGGAGCGAAAUCACCUAGUUGUGCACCAUCUUUGUGCAGUUGUUGGUCGGUUUCUCGCGUGUCUACUGCUUAUUGUUACAGGUGUCGGAGCUGCUGGUUACCUGCAGUUGCUGCUGCCUGGAAGCUCGCCUGAGCGUUGCCAGCAAUGGAGAAAAGAAGGCAGGAAAGAAGGGAAGAGAGAAGAGAAAGAAGAGGCGAGGAGAGACAGAAAGAGAGCGGCUCUUGCUGGUUGCUGCAGCUUCUUGCUGGUGUCCUCGCUAGCUUCUAUUGGAGAAUAGAAGCGAAAAAGAAAAGGAAGGAGAAGAGAGGAGAAGGUUGUCAUGGAUGGCCGACUCAUUGCCUCGCCGGAGUUCGCUUGAUGCUCCUCGCCGGACUGCUGUGCGCUGCUGCUGGCGGACCGCUGCUGUCCAUGCCGGUCAAUGCUGUCCGCUGCUGCUUGUGGGCCGCUGCUGUCCAUGCCGGUCACUGCUGUCCGCUGCUGCUGGUGGUCGCUGCUCUCGCCGGAGCGAAUGGAGAAGAGAGAGUGGGUGGCUGGCGGCUGCAAGGAGAGGGGAGGGAGAAGAAUAAUUUUAGGUCUUGAUUUUUAGUGUAUUGAAAUCAAGAAGAAAAGGGAAUUUUAUCACAACCGUUGAUUUAAUAAGAAAUAAAGGGAUAUGAUUCGAUUAAUAAUAGAUGGAUGAGAUUAAGAGAUGAGAUGUAUUGAAAUCAGAUUGGAUUGAAUAUGCAAUGGCUACAAUUGCAAUUAAAAUUGCUAGAAUUGAAAUGAAAGACGGGUUAUGAUUGAGAUAAAAUUUAAUUGGAGUAGCUAGAAUUGAAAGAAAAUAUAAUAGAAUAGGCUAGAAUUUAAAUAGUUUUAAGGAAAGUGUAGGAAUUAUUAUCUAAUAAAUACUACAUAUAUUAAAGAAUUUUUUUAAUUGAAAAAUCAUUUAAAUUUUAAACUUUUGAAAUUCAUUAAUAAUAUUUACGAUAAUUUUAUAAAGUAAAACAUAUUAAAAUAUAUAAUUUCCAAGCAAAAUCGAUUAAAAAUUCUAAACUUUAAAUAAAUUUUAAAAUACUUAUUUAAUCGAAUAUUAUCCCAAAAAUGGUUAAAGGUCGGUCAAAAUUGGGUGUCAACAGCUGCCCCUUGGUUGAUUGAGAAUGAAGAAUGAAUUGUCAGGCAACCAACGUUGACUUAGUAGCCGAUUUUGUCCGACCGACGAGAGAUGUCAGUUGGAUCAAUUAAAACGAUAUGGAUUUUAAAAAGGGCACAACCGAGACUUUGGUUUUAAGUCGCCUACAUAUCUCUGGUUAUACGAGAAUCAGGUCGUGUGUAGUUCUAGAUUCAAGAGCAAAUGAAACUGUUAAAAGUUGAAAGAGCGGUAAGGUAUUCAGAAGGCACGAUAUCGACUUGAAUGGAUAAGAUUAGAGUAGCGAGAAGAGAGAGAUUGAGAGGCUAAAAGAGCAUGACAAAGAAACGAGAAGAGCAUGAUAGAGUGAGAUUAUCAGCUUUUGCAAGGUUUGGAGUAUGAGUAGUAAAGAAUUAAUAGUGUCUUCGUUGUGAUAGCAUGAUAAUUGUAAUCAACGGGCGAUCCAUCAUAUCUGCAAAUUCUAGAUAAAACGUUAGCUUAUAAAUAAUGUAAGACCAAUAAUGAUAAAAUAUGAGUUCUAAAUAGAUGAUAAAAGGUGAUAAGCGCCUAUUUGUUUUGAGACGUAGUGCAAGCCUUGAUAGUUUUUAACUUCUUGAAGGAUUGAAACUCAUCUCUGAAGAAUAACGUCAAACUCCAAAAUAUUUGAUAGUAUAAACAUAUAAUAAUAUAAGUAAAAUGUCUGGUUGUAAGGAGAGUCUAAACGUCAUUUUAAAGCGGACGAGCCUAAACAUCAUAUUUUAAGACGGAAAAGCCUAAACAUCUUAUUCUAAGGCGGAAGAGCCUAAAUAUCGUAUUGUAAGGCAGACGAGCCUAAACAUCGUAUUGUAAGGCAGAUGAGCCUAAAUAUCCUAUUGUAAGGCGGAAGAGCCUAAACGUCGUAUUGCAAGGCAGACGAGCUUAAACAUCGUAUUAUAAGGCAGAUGAGCCUAAAUAUCCUAUUGUAAGGCGGAAGAGCCUAAACGUCGUAUUGUAAGGCAGACGAGCCUAAAUGUCGUAUUGUAAGGCAGACGAGCCUAAACAUCCUAUUGUAAGGCGAAAGAGCCUAAAUAUCCUAUUAUAUGGCGGAAGAGCCUAAACGUCGUAUUGUAAGGCAGACGAGCCUAAAUGUCGUAUUGUAAGGCAGACGAGCCUAAAUGUCGUAUUGUAAGGCAGACGAGCCUAAACAUCCUAUUGUAAGGCGGAAGAGCCUAAACAUCCUAUUGUAAGGCGAAAGAGCCUAAAUAUCGCAUUUUAAGGCGGAAAAGCCUAAACAUCCUAUUGUAAGGCGGAAAAGCCUAAAUAUCGUAUUAUAAUAAGGCGGGAGAGCUUAAAUAUAUAUUCAGUCAGUCGUAGAAAAAAGUUGAUAAUAGCCUCUUCAAAAAAUAAUCCGAGGAUAGUAUGACUUACAUAGUAGCUCCUAAAUAUGACAAUACGCUCAUAUAUAAUUUAUUCCUGCAUCCAGAGAAAAUUCGUAAAUUCAAAAGGCGAGAGAUGGUCAUACCUGUGCUUGUUUUGCCUUUAGAGUUGCAUUCCCUUGCGAUGAAAUUUUUGAGGAUUUCUCAAAAAUUUCUGCCCCAGUUUAGAGUAUAAGAUAUAUACUCACUUUGUUAAAUAUGUCUAUGAAAAUUUUUGAGGUUUCCUCAAAAAUUCUGCCCCAGUUUAUUAGUGGGGGAAUUUUUGAUUCUGCUUCACUCAAAGAAAAAUUAUAAGUUCCAAAGAAAGUGAUUGUCUUGUAUUUGGACAUUAAGGCUCGACUUAGAAUUCAAGUGUCAAUUAUGUCCAUGGAUUGUCAAUUAGCCUAGAUUUGAAUUUGUAAAGGAGUGUUUUGAAUGACCAUGGGAGAGAAAGAAAAUUUAUUUGAUAGAACCGGACCCAUCAAGGGUUGCCUACGUAUCCAAAAAGGAAAUCAGGUCAAACGUAGUUCAGAAUUACAAGGAAAAAUGAAAGGAAUGAGGAAGGCUUUGGGCAUAAGGUCUGAGAACAAUAAAGCCAACUUUGUUCAUAAGAGUCUUGUCCAUAUCAUUUUCUCUGAUGUGAUUUACGCUUCCUUGUCAAGUUCCUAACGUACAUCUUUGUAGGAUCUCCCUGAACGAUGAAUGUAUUCGCCAUAGAAGGAUUGCAAUUGUUGUUUUGUGGUCCUUGUUGCACUAUAAUUUUUCUUUUUUCAAUCAUAUUCUGAAUCUUAUUUCUCAAUGCUGCACAUUCUUCAGUGUCAUGACCUUGAAUGUUUGAAUAACAGGCACAAUUUUUGGAUAGAUCAAAGUUUGAAGUAGAGUGUUUGGGAAUCCAUCCAUUUAUUGGUCUUAGAAGUCCCUUAGCCCAUAAUCUCUGGAAAAUGUCGGUCAAAGUUUCCUUUAAGGGAGUGAAGACACAAGGUUUCCUCACCUUAUGUUGAGAAACCUGAGGGUUGGAAGGCUCAAGAAUAGCAUGAAUUUGCUCAAUAUUCUGAUUUCUUUGUUUCGGAGGUAUAUAGGUUAAUGCAUCUUCGUUCCUUUCAUCUAAUGAUUCUUUCAGGACUUGAAAAGGAAUUUGUGUAUCAGCAAUUCUUCCAGACUGAAUGCCAUAUUCUAACUCUUUUCGAAUUCGAAUUAGACUGUCGAAACUUUGAAUACCAACGAAGAACAAGGUUUUGUAGUAUAUACCCUCAAGUGAUCUGAUGAGAGUUUGUACCAACUCCUCUUCAUGCGGUAAGUGACGUAUCUUGGAGGCUUCCAUUCUCCAUCGUAUGACAUAUUCCUCAAAAGAUUCAUGACUUAAUUUCUUCAAUUUGAGCAAAUUUAACAUUGUAGGAUCAACCUUCUUAUUAAACUUGUAUUGUUCCACAAAGUCUCGAGCCAUGUCUUCCCAUGCGAGCCAUUUGUCAAAGUCUUGUUUGAUGUACCAAGUGAAGGCUAUUCCUUAUAAGCUUUGAAUAAAUAACCUCAUUAGGAGAGGUUCAUUUUUUUCUAAGCCAACUAGCCUGCUGCAAAAAUCUUUGAGAUGUGCCAUUGGAUCCCCAUGUCCGUCGAACAUGUUGAAUUUUGGAAUUUUAAAUUCUGACGGCAAUUCGACUCCUGGGUGUAGACAUAAAUUUUUAUACCUUAGGUCAUGAGUAGGUAUUGAAUUUAAUCAUCCAUUCACCUUUUUCUCCAAGUCAUGCAUUUUUCGCUGCAAUGCAUCUAGCUUAGACUUCUCUAUUUUGUCACCUAUUCCCUCAUAUCCUACAGCAUCAAAGUUGAGGCGUGUUGGAGACCUUUGUUGAGAGAGGGUGUGAGUAGGAAUAGGAUGAGGAGAGAUGGUCCAAAAGAUACUUUGUUGUGGACGAGAAGAAGGGUGAUUUUUUCGAAGAUUGAACAUAUUUGUCAUAUUGAUGGUUCUUAGUUGAGCCUAAAAUCCAAAUACUAGACAACCAUUAGUCAAAGAAGUAAAUCAAACACAAAAUCGGGUUAAUAUAUAGUAAGCCAAAAUUAUAAUUUCAAAUGAAUAACAUAAUAGCUCAAAGUGGUACAAUUAUAACAGUUAAUAGAAUAAGGUCACAUAAUUGGUUCAAGUCAUAUUUGUCAAUUUAAAGUUUAGAAUCAAAGAAAAUUUAUAUAUACAUUCAAAUAAACAAAUAAAUCAUUCUUCAAUUAAUCUUCAACUUGAACUUCAAGUUUGAAACCUGUCAAAGUAAUCAAAUAACUACACAAGUAAUCACACUUAUUAGUCAAGGUGUGACAAUAUGCAAUCGUUUAAUAACGAAUUAUACAUACAUACAUACAUACACACACACACACACACACACACACACACACACACAUAUAUAUAUAUAUAUAAAAUAAUAGCUUACACAAAUGUGUGAAUGUAAAGAUAGUGUGAAUGUUAAGAACACUAACCAGUUAAGCAAAACAAAUUGAUUCAACUUUUACUUGAACAAAGUAGUAAGAUAGCGAAGAAGAACACUUGAAUAAUUAUUGGAUUCUCAAUGUAUUGUUAGAGUAGCAAGAGAGCAAUGAGAGAAGGGAGAGUAAUGAGAGAAUUUGUGAUUGAGAGUGAAUGAGCGUGUGAGUUGAUGAGAGAACUUGUUAUGAAAGAUGAGUGUCUGUGAAUGAAUUGAGUAUGAGGGAGUCCUAUUUAUAUAGCAAAAGGAGAGAAAAAUAUAAAAAAAAAUAAGGUAAAUAAAUAUUUUUUAGGAAUCAAGUAAGUAUACUAUUUACCUUAUUCAAAAGGAGAUUCAAAUCAGCAAAAAUGUAAAAUAUAUCAUUUCCAAAUAUUACAAGUAAGAGUAAUUAGAAAGAUCAAUAUUAUUUGUCCUUAAAUAAAGAAGAAUCAAAAUCAGAUUAUAUUAUUUAUUCAUUUUUUCCAAAUAUAUGAAAAACUAAAUAUGACAAGAAAAUAAUUAAAGUUUCAAUGAAUACUAUUUUUCCUUAAAUAAGAGCAUGAAAUCAGGUUUAUAUAAAAAUUAACAAAUUUAAUCAAGUAAGAAAUGAAAUUAGGAAGGGUAAUAUUUUCCUUAAAUAAUGAAGAACCAAAUUAAUUUUUUUUUUACUAAAUAAACAAAUAAGUAAUCAAUCCUAUUUUUAAAUAAGGUAAACAAAUAAACUCAAUAAUACAACCAAGUAAAACAAGCAUGAAAAGGAUUAUUUCCAACAAUAAAUUGAUUUAGUUAAACCAAUAGACGAGAUUAUUAAGGAAAGGGAGGAAUUACAUUCAGAUUAUAAUUUGAAACAAUCAAAUAAAUCACAAAAUUGGUGCGAGAUAUCGAUUCAAAUCCAACAUUACAGUAAUCUUGCCCAAAUUCAAUAACAAAAAUCAAUAAACAUGUCAAAAUCACCCAAAGUAGUAAAAUAAUAGAGGUUGAUAGUAUUAAUUCGUAAAAGCAAAUAAUUGAUUAUUCCCUGAGUGAAGCUUCUAUUAUUGAGCCAAAUUAGUUCAUAUUAUGCAUAAACAGAAGUCAUUCCAGAGCCUUCCAAAAUUAUAUAUCUAGAUUUUCAUAGAAAUAACGAAGGGAUAAACGUGCUGAAAUUACUAGAUAAUUCAGAAGACAUGAAGAAAAAUUCAAGAUAUAAGUACAUAUAGCUAAGAAAAACAAAUACAAACACAAAUCAAUAUAAUAACUGUACGAAAUAAAAAGAAACCAAUCCAAUCAUGCAAAGCUUGAAUGCUCACGAUAAUUGAAAUCAAGAACAAAGAGUUGGAAUGAUGCACAAAUUAAUUAGAAUGUACCAAUCCAUACUUAUCAAACUUGAAGAACCUUAAAAGUUGUUAUCGGAGUUCACUAUUGUUUUGUUGUUUCCGCUGCCAAAAAGCAAGGAGAGGAGCGAAAUCACCUAGUUGUGCACCAUCUUCGUGCAGUUGUUGGUCGGUUUCUCGCGUGUCUACUGCUUGUUGUUACAGGUGUCGGAGCUGCUGGUUACCUGCAGUUGCUGCUGCCUGGAAGCUCGCCUAAGCGUUGCCAGCAAUGGAGAAAAGAAGGUGGGAAAGAAGGGAAGAGAGAAGAGAAAGAAGAGGCGAGGAGAGACAGAAAGAGAGCGGCUCUCGCUGGUUGCUGCAGCUUCUUGCUGGUGUCCUCGCGAACUUCUGUUGGAGAAUAGAAGCGAAAAAGAAAAGGAAGGAGAAGGUUGCCACGAAUGGCCGACUCAUUGCCUCGCCGGAGUUCGCUUGAUGCUCCUCGCCGGACUACUGUGCGCUGCUGCUGGCGGACCGCUGCUGUCCAUGCCGGUCAAUGCUGUCCGCUGCUGCUUGUGGGCCGCUGCUGUCCAUGCCGGUCACUGCUGUCCGCUGCUGGUGGUGAUCGCUGCUUUCGCCGGAGCGAAUGGAGAAGAGAGAGUGGGUGGCUGGCGGCUGCAAGGAGAGGGGAGGGAGAAGAAUAAUUUUUGGUUUUGAUUUUUAGUGUAUUGAAAUCAAGAAGAAAAGGGAAUUUUAUCACAACCGUUGAUUUAAUAAGAA